GACGAACGCUGGCGGCGUGCUUAACACAUGCCAGUCGAACGGAAAGGCCCUUCUUUUUUGGGGUGCUCGGGUGGCGAACGGGUGAGUAACACGUGAGUAACCUACCCUUCACUUUUGUAUAACUUCACGAAACUAGGGCUAAUCUCGUAUAGGAUCUCCUGCUGCAUUGUGGGGGUUGGAAAGUUUCGGCGGUUGGGGAUGGACUCGCGGCUUUUGAGCUUGUUGGUGGGGUAGUGGCUUACCAAGGCUUUGACGGGUAGACGGCCUGAGAGGGUGACCGGCGACAUUGGGACUGAGAGAGGGACCAGACGCCUACGGGAGGCAGCAGUGGGGAAUAUUGCAAAGCGGGCGGAAGCCGGAGGCAGCGACGCCGGGGGCGGGAUGACGGUCUUUGGGGUGUAAACCGCUUCCGCCUGUGACGAAGCGGGAGUGACGGUAACGGGUAAAGAAGCACCGGCUAACUACGUG
rnacentral:rRNA from 1 species